rnacentral:rRNA from 1 species
GAUGAACGCUGGCGGCGUGCUUAACACAUGCAAGUCGAACGAUGAAGCCCAGCUUGCUGGGUGGAUUAGUGGCGAACGGGUGAGUAACACGUGAGUAACCUGCCCCUGACUCUGGGAUAAGCCCGGGAAACUGGGUCUAAUACUGGAUAUGACCUGUCACCGCAUGGUGGUGGGUGGAAAGAUUUUUUGGUUGGGGAUGGACUCGCGGCCUAUCAGCUUGUUGGUGAGGUAGUGGCUCACCAAGGCGACGACGGGUAGCCGGCCUGAGAGGGUGACCGGCCACACUGGGACUGAGACACGGCCCAGACUCCUACGGGAGGCAGCAGUGGGGAAUAUUGCACAAUGGGCGCAAGCCUGAUGCAGCGACGCCGCGUGAGGGAUGACGGCCUUCGGGUUGUAAACCUCUUUCAGUAGGGAAGAAGCCUUUUGGGUGACGGUACCUGCAGAAGAAGCGCCGGCUAACUACGUGCCAGCAGCCGCGGUAAUACGUAGGGCGCAAGCGUUAUCCGGAUUUAUUGGGCGUAAAGAGCUCGUAGGCGGUUUGUCGCGUCUGCCGUGAAAGUCCGGGGCUUAACUCCGGAUCUGCGGUGGGUACGGGCAGACUAGAGUGCAGUAGGGGAGACUGGAAUUCCUGGUGUAGCGGUGAAAUGCGCAGAUAUCAGGAGGAACACCGAUGGCGAAGGCAGGUCUCUGGGCUGUAACUGACGCUGAGGAGCGAAAGCAUGGGGAGCGAACAGGAUUAGAUACCCUGGUAGUCCAUGCCGUAAACGUUGGGCACUAGGUGUGGGGGACAUUCCACGUUUUCCGCGCCGUAGCUAACGCAUUAAGUGCCCCGCCUGGGGAGUACGGCCGCAAGGCUAAAACUCAAAGGAAUUGACGGGGGCCCGCACAAGCGGCGGAGCAUGCGGAUUAAUUCGAUGCAACGCGAAGAACCUUACCAAGGCUUGACAUGGACUGGAUCGCUGCAGAGAUGUGGUUUCCCUUCGGGGCUGGUUCACAGGUGGUGCAUGGUUGUCGUCAGCUCGUGUCGUGAGAUGUUGGGUUAAGUCCCGCAACGAGCGCAACCCUCGUUCCAUGUUGCCAGCGGGUUAUGCCGGGGACUCAUGGGAGACUGCCGGGGACAACUCGGAGGAAGGUGAGGACGACGUCAAAUCAUCAUGCCCCUUAUGUCUUGGGCUUCACGCAUGCUACAAUGGCCGGUACAAAGGGUUGCGAUACUGUGAGGUGGAGCUAAUCCCAAAAAGCCGGUCUCAGUUCGGAUUGGGGUCUGCAACUCGACCCCAUGAAGUCGGAGUCGCUAGUAAUCGCAGAUCAGCAACGCUGCGGUGAAUACGUUCCCGGGCCUUGUACACACCGCCC